UGGGGAAUAUUGCACAAUGGGCGCAAGCCUGAUGCAGCAACGCCGCGUGAACGAAGAAGGUCUUCGGAUUGUAAAGUUCUGUCCUUAGGGAAGAAGAAAGUGACGGUACCUAAGGAGGAAGCCCCGGCUAACUACGUGCCAGCAGCCGCGGUAAUACGUAGGGGCAAGCGUUAUCCGGAAUGAUUGGGCGUAAAGAGUACGUAGGUGGUUUUGUAAGCGCGGGGUGAAAGGCAGUGGCUUAACCAUUGUAAGCCUUGCGAACUGCGAGACUUGAGUGCAGGAGAGGAAAGCGGAAUUCCUAGUGUAGCGGUGAAAUGCUUAGAUAUUAGGAGGAACACCAGUGGCGAAGGCGGCUUUUUCUGGACUGUAACUGACACUGAGGUACGAAAGCGUGGGGAGCAAACA
rnacentral:rRNA from 1 species